UUUCCCAAAACUAGGCACCGA
rnacentral:miRNA from 1 species